ensembl:lncRNA
GUGUGAGCUCACUGGGCUCUGACAGCAGGGAUCAAAACAACAUGUGAACCAGCCACGACACGGACCACCAUCAAAACAAGCGAGCACCCACGACAAGUCUCCCAUAGCUACAUCACAAGAGAAGCUGUGAUGUACCAUGGGUAGCUGACCAAGGAAAGACACCCCACCUUGCAAUGUGCUGCUUUAGCUUCCCAGCAUAAGAAAAACUCCAGCAAAGGAAAACAAACGAAGCAGAGAAGACAAACGGAACGAGUGCGGUUUCAAAUCCCUCCGUCAAAUGUGACCUGCUAGAAACUUUGAAACAAACAGAUGUACACACUCCUCAUCCCUCAAGCAGUUCCUCUGUAGCAGCAGUAUGUCUGUCAGUUCUUUCAUCAUGUUAUGAAAUAAGAAGAGAGCACAAGAGGAACCUGUUGCUGGGCUAUAAGACCAAAGCAGCCCAGAGAAAAAAUGGUAAUGCAAGCAAGAGCGGCGGCAGGGGUCUGCCGGGGUGUAACCAUAGCUGCUAAACUCGCAUUCAGGCCUUUUCCAGAGCAGGGCUCAGAGUAUGCAGACGACCUAGGGGCUAGAGACUUAGGGAGGACUUUAAGCUUCUUUGUCAAGCUCCUCGGAGCUCAGUCGACUGCUGUGAAGAGGCCGAAGCAUGCAGCUGUCUAGCAACAAGAAACCCCUCAUACCACAGAUACUGGCCUGUGGUUAAGGAGUCUGUUUCCCAGAUUCCAGAUGACGUCCUGACAGGAGGGCUGAGUGACUGGAGGUGAGGCUGUGUGAUGACAGACCAGGGCCUUUAUCAGUGACCAGCACACUGCCGGCUUGCUGUUUGAAGAUUAACUGGCAGAUUGAAACCCAAAACUGCUCUCAUUCCUGCUUGACUCCCUGCCUCUUUACAUAUUUUCCCUUUUUUUUCUCUCUUUUCUUUUUUUCUUCCUUUUAACCCCUAGCUCACUGGCUGUAGGAACUCACUGGGUUUAAUGUAAUUGGCCUAUUUCCUGCAUAUGAAGUUCCCGGUUUGUUGUAAUUGACUUGGUCUUUUAUUGGCUGUGAGACAGGUUAAAUGGGAACCAAAUGGAGAGGCAACACAGGAAGCUUAGGCCCGGGCUAUCUGAUACUCAUCAAAUCAGUCAACCUGGAUGCAGAACAGCAAAGUGCUGAGAAUGUGGCCGCAGUGAUUAGCAGCUGCAUAAGGAUUAGUAAGGUAGUAACAUAUUGGCAUAUGUUAGUCAAUCUUGGCAGUGAGUGAUGUUGUUAAGACGUAGUCUGUCCCACAAUAUGGCACUAGUUUACUGUGCAGAGGAGGAUAUUUUCAGCUCUUUUUCCACGUGGAGCUAUUUAUUUCUUAUGGGCAAAGCUGAAAUCUUAUCAGCCAAGGAUGUCAAGAUCAACUUCCUUUUUUAAAAAAAAAAUAAAAUUAUUUGAUUACGUUAUUUUGUAGCCUCAGCCGACUCAGUCUCUCUGCUGUUUCCUCUCAGCGGAGAAGAGGCAUGGAGAUAACCUUAUUCAGCUUGUUUCAUCAAAACAUCUCAUGCCACAGUAAAUGACAUUCAACAAAGCUGAUCUUCUGCUCUUUGAUGUUUGCCAGAGUAAAUGGACUAUCAAUGCAAAGUAUAAACACUCCUCUAUGCUAAUGUUCCUCUGGGGGUCUUUGAUGGCACCAGUAGUAUCUGUGAAGUGUGUUUUGAAAAAUUGCAUUGGUAAGCCAUCCAAAUAGCAAGAAUUAAAGCCUUUUCACUCACGGUGCCUUUUCAGCCAAGGGCGAAAAAAAAAAAAAAAUUGUACUCUGUAGUGGGAAAAUUGGAGCACAAACAAGGUACAGAGUAAGUGACUUGUAACAGACAGUACGGGCCAACCAAACUGGCAGUGUGGCAGGGGUCCAGUUGACUGCCAGGUGACAUCAUUUGGCAUUGUUUCACCACUCCAUUUAUUUUAUUGUGCUCAUUGUCCUCCCACAUUCACUCAAUCAAGUGGGCCUUUUUGUGCUGGUUGUUUAGGUAGUCCAGGUGCACCAUGCUAGUGGAGGCUUCCUGUCUCCCCAGAAAUCUUUUCAAUACCUCUCCUGCCGCGGGUAUUGUCAUAUCCCACAGUGCAUCUGAAAAGAAGCAGCAGCCCUGCGUAAAUGUCAGAGAGGUGAUUUGUUUUUAACUCUUAGCAGUCACCAAAUGCCUUGUGUGGGAGUCUGAGUGUGGGUGCACAAGUGAAUAAACACACAGCUGUCUCUCUGGAGCAUUUCCUCACUUUGCUGCAAUGUACAGUAUUUUAUAGUAGGGUUUACAGUGUGGCGCCCCCUGUUGAUAUGGUGCUUUUUUUAAACAUAGUAUUGACAGUGUGAUUUAAAGGUGUCCUUUGACUGUAACUACUGCAUUUUAUUUUAUACACAAUGAGCCAGCUAUGAGGGUUUUUCUCUUUUUUUUUUUGAGUGUUCUUUAAAUGCCUUGUUUUUAAUACAUCAGAGAAAGAACAAGUCUGGAUUUAUCACAUAAACUGGAGGAAAGAUGCUCCGGGCUUUCAUGUGGAGGUACAGUUUAUCUAGGAAAGGCGCCAGCAAAGUUUUCUUCAGAUGUAAGUUAAUUCCACUUCUCCCUGACACCCAAAAUAACAAGGUAUUAUUCAUUUAAAAGCGAGAAAAGACACUUUUCUGAUUGGCAAAGAAAGUUGGAAAAAAAAAUCAGUUUUAAAAAGUGUGAAAAGACUCAAAAUAUAGUGACAGCUUAAUCAUCUGCUCAUUAGAUUGGCUUAGUUUUUUCACCAGUAUUUUAGGAGAUUUCACACUUUCCAGCCGGGCCUAAUGUUUUGCAGCAAAGAGAUAAUUUAUUUUAGAUCACAGAGGUGCCACCGUUUCCCUCGCUGUGUUUUUUUUAGAAGGACAGAAGGACAAUGAGAUGAACUUUUCUAAUGACUGUAGCAUGAGUGAGAAGACUAGUAGAGACCAAGCCAAGGAGGAAGCCACAUAAGUAAAGCCAUGUCAAGUUCAAUUAGACCAGCUGAAGAGUUUAGCAGGCAGAGCUGACACAGUCCAAUUUGCCCAACAUAUUCAGCCCACCUUUUCCACAUGUGCUCACUGCUCACAGCUUUCAGCACCAAGUUUGGACAAAUAUUCACACUUUCCCACAUAAACCUCUCGGGGAAAGAUGCCCCGGACUUUCAUUUGGGAGGUGCAGUUCAUCUAGGAAAGCCGUCAGCCAAGCUUCCUCCAAAUGUACGUUAAUUCCACCCCCACUCUCUACUUGACAAAGUAUUAUUCCUUAAAAAGAGGGGGGGAAAAGACACUUAUCGGUCUAUUUUUUCUCUCCCCUUUCUCCUUUUUUCAUUCACCCGCAGCCUCUUUCUGUUGUACACACACCGAAACACACAGAGCUGUACCCUGUGGUGAAUGUCUCACAUAUGCCAUCCAGUUAGCAGGAUAUUUUUGUCUGUGUGAGUGGGCAGCGGUGUCACUCAGCGAGCUUUGAGCUUAGCGGAGGGAGAACUGUGAAAGCCAGUCACUAACAAGCAGAGAGAUUCCCUCCCUGCGUCCCACAGCCAGAUGGCUAAUCUGGGCAGAAUAGGAAACAUACUUUAUAAUCAGAUUUACAGAGGUGGAAAAAAAAAAAACAUACACAAACACCAUAACAAUUCAAAUGCCUUGUGGUCACAAGCUGUCUGGAAUGAGGUGACAACGACAUAAAACAAAGUCCCUUCAAAAUGGUUUCAAUAAUUAGACGGACUGGAGUGGCUUCGGUUAGCCUAUAAAACAACUGCCGGGGCUUGAGGCUGGUCCUGCAAAUUGGAAUCACUUGUGUCUCUGCGUUUGUGUCAGGUCAGCAUUAAGUGGAUGACAGCUGAAGAAAAAGAGCUAUUUAUUUAUUUGUUUUCUCCUUUAAGGAACGGGGCAGUAUCCAAGUCUCUUUUCAACCACUAAAAAAUACCAAUAAUAUAUACAUAUAAAACACUCUCCUUCUGUCUACCUCUGCCUGUGGCCUGAAUGAUGACAGGCAUGAUUCCUGCUGGUGCCCUGCCAGUGCAUUGCCCAAGGAUGCCCACGGGUGUUUGAGGCAGCGUAUCCAUUAGCUACCUGUGUAGACUGCUCCUCUGGGAUAUUCAGAGACUGAUGUCUGCUUUCCUUCUAUUGUUGAGACUCCUGAGCCACACAGACCAACACACGUGCACCUGAAGCCAACCAUCUGGCCAAGACGUGAGGACCAUGCUGCUGCAGCCUCCGAUGAGCUGACCACUUACUCCUCUUCCUGUCACUCAGCCUCAUCAGCUGGUGCUGUCAACACAGGUGGCAUUCCCUUAUUCCUUCUCUACUGAGGAAAGAAGAAGCCGAUGGAUAUAUUAUGCUUCAGGCUGUAAAUACAUAAUGUGAGCAGAAAAACACAAUCCGCUGUAUUACAACAUCUCUGCGAAGACUGUCCAGCUGAGAAAUUUAUGGAGUUGUUGCUUGUAUUGUUUUUAUAACAGUGUAAGGGCAAUAAAUGCAGAUUGAUUAGGCCAAGCUAUUAUAGAAUUUAAGUGGCAAUAUGUACAACAAAACCCCUAUAAUGUACUAAUUAAACUUGUUGGUUGCUUGGUUGUUGGCUGUUUUGGUGAAUAAGAGUAGCGUAUGUAUAUUUUUUGCUUUUCAACAAAAGUGCAACAUUUUUAGGCGGUUCUGAAUUGUGCAAAGAAUGCAAAGCCCAGUCAUUACUGUUUACACCAAAGUGUGGAAUCGGACACUUCAUGUUGAACACCGGGAAUAAGGAACAGCUGUUUGAUGGAGGAAAACUAAUGAUGUCAUGCCCAAAAACAUCAGCGGGGACACCAACACCACGGGGGCUGUCACUCAACAACAGAAUGUCAGCGGCAGAAGGGUCUCUGUUUGGGGAAGGCUUUUGUCAAUCAUCUCUAAGGUAGCGGGGAAGCAGGUGGGUCGGCCAAUCGCAGAAGGUCCCAGCACAGCAGGCCCGCGACCAGGAAGUGGAAGCGCCAUCUGGAGUGAGGAUGAGCUGUGAGUGGGCAUUUGAAACAAAGUAACGACAUGCUGGAAGAAAGCUGGUGGUGUGUGUGUCUCUGGAUAUAACAAGGGCAUUUGGAUUCAUGCUGCCUAUCACACCCACUCUGUUGCUGAUUCUACUAGUCAGAUGGUGCUUAUUAAAGAUGUGCACCAGCAGCCAUUCCUCUCAUAUAGGGGUUGAAGACCAGUGUGUGAUACCUAACUGGUAUGAUGGGUAGAAUACUGUUACUGGCAUUAAUGUGGCAUGCAAGACACUGUAACCCCCUACCCACACUGAUUAGGGAAACAGACCUUCCAUCACACACACAUAUAUUUAUCAUUGUAUUAAUGUUAUGAGCUGGCAAAUUGUCAACUGCGAAUGUUAAAGUGACACCCUGCUGGUGAAAAUAGACUGAAUAAAACUGGCAAAUUGAA